rnacentral:lncRNA from 1 species
CUCUUUCAUUUGCACAUGAGAGGAAGCUGGUCACCAGUUGAGAUCACCAUAGGUUUAUGAGAGACAAUGCUUUAUUUGAAUAGAAAAAUGAAGCCUCUUACUUGUCCCUUGAGAAUGUGGGGCUCAGCAAGUGAUAUUAUAUGGCCGCGUCACCCUGCUGUUUUCUUUCAUCACUUUUUCCAGUGAUUUUAGGAGCAACCAACCAACUUCAUUAUGUUCUUUGGUUCUCCACAUAUGGUCAGGGUAUUAUGUAUAGAGUCACUAAACUCCUCGCCUCUCAUGAGUGGUGAAUCAUAAUAAUGAGGCAACUGCCCAGACUGAAAAGAAAUGUUUGGGAAGAGAUGAAGACAAGCUUAUGAAGACCAAAUUUACUGAGCUCUUAAAAUAUGAUCAUGUUGGAGUGAAUUUCAAAAGUUAUGAUUAUUAAAACUACUUACUACUUCUCUUCAUUUUUAUCCUGCCAAAUCCUACCAGUUAAAGAGCACACAAUUUAAAACUGCUGCAAUGGAACUGAGAGAAUUCGCAAAACUUCAUUAAAGGUCCCGAAUAAACAUGCAGAAUCUAACAAAAAUCAGCUUGUCUUGUCUUUCAAAUGUUGCUUUCCUCUCAAAGUGUCCAU